CGGGAUUCCCUUAGUAACGGCGAGCGAACAGGGAUGAGCCCAGCAUGUAAAUCUCCAGCCAAUCUUGGCUGGCGAAUUGUAGUCUGGAGGAGUGCUCCCUGGGUGGGGGCCGGCCGAAGUAUACUGGAAGGUAUCGCUCUAGAGGGUGAGAGCCCCGUAGGCCGGCUGUCCAACCCUUCACGGGACGCUUUCUGAGAGUCGGGUUGUUUGGGAAUACAGCCCCAAUUGGGUGGUAAACCCCAUCUAAGGCUAAAUAUCAAUGGGAGACCGAUAGCGAAAAAGUACCUCGAGGGAACGAUGAAAAGACCGCUGGCAAGCGAGUAAAAGAGUGCAUGAAAUUGUGUAGUGGGAAGGGAUGGCCCGGUAGCCUGCACCCGGGUUAAUGUGGCUCGUCAGAGCUGCUGUUUGCACUGGGUGCUGGCUGGUACCGGCGCCCCUGGCCGUACAACACCUUGCUGAGAUGCUUGGCACUGCGGGCAGGGGUGCUGAGGACGAUCGGUGCUUUGCCCCCUCGGGGAGCUGCGCUGACGGGGUACCAGCUGAAGCCGGUCCAUCUG
rnacentral:rRNA from 1 species